GCCUGGGUGGCUCAGUCGGUUGAGCGUCUGACUUCGGCUCGGGUCAUGAUCUCGUGGUCCGUGGGUUCAAGCCCCGUGUCAGGCU
rnacentral:tRNA from 1 species